rnacentral:rRNA from 1 species
AACGCGAAGAACCUUACCAGGUCUUGACAUACCAAUGACCGGAUUAGAGAUAGUCCUUUCCCUUCGGGGACAUUGGAUACAGGUGGUGCAUGGUUGUCGUCAGCUCGUGUUGUGAGAUGUUGGGUUAAGUCCCGCAACGAGCGCAACCCCUAUCGUUAGUUGCCAGCAUUAAGUUGGGGACUCUAACGAGACUGCCAGUGACAAACUGGAGGAAGGUGGGGAUGACGUCAAAUCAUCAUGCCCCUUAUGACCUGGGCUACACACGUGCUACAAUGGUUGAUACAAAGAGAAGCGAAGCGGUGACGUGGAGCAAACCUCAUAAAGUCAAUCUCAGUUCGGAUUGUAGGCUGCAACUCGCCUACAUGAAGUUGGAAUCGCUAGUAAUCGCGAAUCAGAAUGUCGCGGUGAAUACGUUCCCGGGUCUUGUACACACCG